GUGUUAUAAUUUAUGAAUUGUGUUUAUACAUUAAUGUUAUAGGGCAUUACGAUCAUAUAUGUGUCAACGGGGUCAAAGAGCAAAAAAUCUUGCUCAAUGGAAGAAUGUUAAGUGCCCUCAACAACCGGGAGGUGUUGAGUGUGGAUACUAUGUUAUGAAAUAUAUGCAUGAUUUAUGCACAAAGUAUUCCACAUAUACUUCUUUGGAUAAGGUAUUUCAAGAUCGCACAACGCCAUACUCUAUUGAAGAAAUAGACGAGAUUCGUGAA